CCUACGGUGGGCUGCAGUGGGGAAUAUUGGGCAAUGGGCGCAAGCCUGACCCAGCAAUGCCGCGUGAAGGAAGAAGGCUUUCGGGUUGUAACCUUCUUUGACAGGGGAAGAGAAGAAGACGGUACCCUGAAAACCCGCCACGGCUAACUACGUGCCCGCAGCCGCGGUAAUACGGAGGUGGCAAGCGUUGUCCGGAUUUACUGGGUGUAAAGGGCGUGUAGCCGGGAAGGCAAGUCAGAUGUGAAAUCUGGUGGCUCAACCUCCAAUUUGCAUUUGAAACUGGUUGUCUUGAGGACAGGAGAGGCAGACGGAAGUCCUUGUGUAGCGGUGAAAUGCGUAGAUAUAAGGAGGAACACCAGUGGCGAAGGCGGGCUGCUGGACAGCAACUGACGGUGAGGCGCGAAAGCGUGGGGAGCAAACAGGAUUAGAUACCCCAGUAGUC
rnacentral:rRNA from 1 species